ACUUAAAUUGAAGAGUUUGAUCAUGGCUCAGAUUGAACGCUGGCGGCAGGCCUAACACAUGCAAGUCGAGCGGUAGCACAGAGAGCUUGCUCUCGGGUGACGAGCGGCGGACGGGUGAGUAAUGUCUGGGAAACUGCCUGAUGGAGGGGGAUAACUACUGGAAACGGUAGCUAAUACCGCAUAACGUCGCAAGACCAAAGUGGGGGACCUUCGGGCCUCAUGCCAUCAGAUGUGCCCAGAUGGGAUUAGCUAGUAGGUGGGGUAACGGCUCACCUAGGCGACGAUCCCUAGCUGGUCUGAGAGGAUGACCAGCCACACUGGAA
rnacentral:rRNA from 1 species